AAUUUGAAAUCUGGCCCUUUCGGGGUCCGAGUUGUAAUUUGUAGAGAGUGCUUCGGGUGAGACUGCGGUCUAAGUCCAUUGGAACAUGGCGUCCCAGAGGGUGAGAAUCCCGUAUGUGACCGCGGCUCGAGCCCAUGUGAAGCCUCUUCGACGAGUCGAGUUGUUUGGGAAUGCAGCUCUAAAUGGGUGGUAAAUUUCAUCUAAAGCUAAAUACUGGCUGGAGACCGAUAGCGCACAAGUAGAGUGAUCGAAAGAUGAAAAGCACUUUGGAAAGAGGGUUAAACAGUACGUGAAAUUGUUGAAAGGGAAGCGCUGGCAACCAGACCUGUCCGUAGGCGAUCACCCGUUGUUCUCAGCGGUGCACUCGUUCUGCGAUCAGGCCAGCAUCGGUUCGGGCGGGCGGAUAAAGGUCUUGGGAAUGUAGCUCCCUUUCGGGGGAGUCUUAUAGCCCUCGAUGCAAUGCGCCCAGCCGGGACCGAGGACCGCGCUUCGGCUAGGAUGCUGGCGUAAUGGUUGUCAGCGACCC
rnacentral:rRNA from 1 species